GGGAUUGCCCUAGUAACGGCGAGUGAAGCGGCAACAGCUCAAAUUUGAAAUCUGGCGUCUUCGGCGUCCGAGUUGUAAUUUGCAGAGGGCGCUUUGGCAUUGGCAGCGGUCCAAGUUCCUUGGAACAGGACGUCACAGAGGGUGAGAAUCCCGUACGUGGUCGCUAGCCUUUACCGUGUAAAGCCCCUUCGACGAGUCGAGUUGUUUGGGAAUGCAGCUCUAAAUGGGAGGUAAAUUUCUUCUAAAGCUAAAUACUGGCCAGAGACCGAUAGCGCACAAGUAGAGUGAUCGAAAGAUGAAAAGCACUUUGGAAAGAGAGUUAAAAAGCACGUGAAAUUGUUGAAAGGGAAGCGCUUGCAGCCAGACUUGCCUGUAGUUGCUCAUCCGGGUUUCUACCCGGUGCACUCUUCUAUAGGCAGGCCAGCAUCAGUUUGGGCGGUUGGAUAAAGGUCUCUGUCAUGUACCUCUCUUCGGGGAGAACUUAUAGGGGAGACGACAUGCAACCAGCCUGGACUGAGGUCCGCGCAUCUGCUAGGAUGCUGGCGUAAUGGCUGUAAGCGGCCCGUCUUGAAACACGGACCAAGGAGUCUAACAUCUAUGCGAGUGUUUGGGUGUCAAGCCCGAGCGCGUAAUGAAAGUGAACGGAGGUGGGAACCUUUCGGGGUGCACCAUCGACCGAUCCUGAUGUCUUCGGAUGGAUUUGAGUAAGAGCAUAGCUGUUGGGACCCGAAAGAUGGUGAACUAUGCUUGAAUAGGGUGAAGCCAGAGGAAACUCUGGUGGAGGCUCGCAGCGGUUCUGACGUGCAAAUCGAUCGUCAAAUUUGGGCAUAGGGGCGAAAGACUAAUCGAACUAUCUAGUAGCUGGUUCCUGCCGAAGUUUCCCUCAGGAUAGCAGUAACGUUUUCAGUUUUAUGAGGUAAAGCGAAUGAUUA
rnacentral:rRNA from 1 species